AAGGUCUGAAGUGGAGGCUUCCAGUGCAAUUUAGAAUGCUGCAUAACCAUGGUCAUAAAUUGCACAGGGAGCCGCCAUUCAGACCUA